GGGGAAUAUUGGACAAUGGGGGCAACCCUGAUCCAGCGACGCCGCGUGGGUGAAGAAGGCCUGCGGGUUGUAAAGCCCUUUCGGUGGGGAAGAAAAGUGUCGGCUUAGUACGUCGGCACCUUGACGUAACCCACUAAAGAAGCACCGGCUACCUCUGUGCCAGCAGCCGCGGUACUACAGAGGGUGCGAGCGUUAAUCGGAAUUACUGGGCGUAAAGCGCGCGUAGGCGGCUUUUCAAGCCGAUUGUGAAAUCCCCGGGCUUAACCUGGGAACUGCAGUCGGGACUGUCUAGCUAGAGUAUGGGAGAGGGAAGUGGAAUUUCAGGUGUAGCGGUGAAAUGCGUAGAUAUCUGAAGGAACAUCAGUGGCGAAAGCGACUUCCUGGACCAAUACUGACGCUCAUGUGCGAAAGCGUGGGGAGCAAAC
rnacentral:rRNA from 1 species